rnacentral:rRNA from 1 species
GACGAACGCUGGCGGCGUGCUUAACACUUGCAAGUCGAACGGAAAGGCCCUGCUUGCAGGGUGCUCGAGUGGCGAACGGGUGAGUAACACGUGGGUGAUCUGCCCCUUACUUUGGGAUAAGCCUGGGAAACUGGGUCUAAUACUGGAUAGGACCAUGCUGUAGGUGGUGUGGUGGAAAGAUUAGUUUCGGUAAGGGAUGAGCUCGCGGCCUAUCAGCUUGUUGGUGGGGUAAUGGCCUACCAAGGCGUCGACGGGUAGCCGGCCUGAGAGGGUGGACGGCCACAUUGGGACUGAGAUACGGCCCAGACUCCUACGGGAGGCAGCAGUGGGGAAUAUUGCACAAUGGGCGCAAGCCUGAUGCAGCGACGCCGCGUGGGGGAUGACGGCCUUCGGGUUGUAAACUCCUUUCAGCCAUGACGAAGCCCUUGUGGUGACGGUAGUGGUAGAAGAAGCACCGGCUAACUACGUG